AUACAGAGGGUGCAAGCGUUAAUCGGAUUUAAUGGGCGUAAAGCGCGCGUAGGUGGCUAAUUAAGUCAAAUGUGAAAUCCCCGAGCUUAACUUGGGAAUUGCAUUCGAAACUGGUUAGCUAGAGAAUGGGAGAGGAUGGUAGAAUUCGUGGUGUAGCGGUGAAAUGCAUAGAGAUCACACAGAACUCCGAUUGCGAAGGCAUCUCACGAAGGGGUGAUUGACGCUGAGGCACGAAAGCGUGGGGAUCAAACAGGAUUAGAUACCCUGGUAGUCCACGCAGUAAACGAUGAUAACUAACCGCUGGGCUUAUGUGGUUCAGUGGCCAAGCGAAAGCGAUAAGUUAUCCACCUGGGGAGUACGACCGCAAGGUUGAAACUCAAAUGAAUUGACGGGG
rnacentral:rRNA from 1 species